GGGUCCGUCCCCCUUAAAACAGUAGUGGACCUCAAACAACUUCUUCGUCUAAUAGGUGAGACUGGACUUCAGAGAGAAACGUAGGCACAGACAGUACUGGUAAACACAGAAGGGUACCUUCUGAGACAGUGCAGGAGAAACACUGUCAGAGGGAUUAGAGGAGAGAUUUAGAAAACAUGAGGAGAGCACAUUGCAGGUAAGAGAUGGCAUGGAACAUGCGCAAUGUCCAGAAAAUGUAUGCAGAGCCACGAAGCUCCAGGAGUGGGGAGACCAGAUUGGGCUGACGCAGCAGAGUAGGGAUUUCCUUGCAGUGGAAGGAUUAGCAAAGAAGGAGACCCCCAGUGUUCAUUCAUUCUGCUGCCCUUCAGAUUGAGGAAAUUGAGCGAGAGAUCAUCAAGCAGGAGGAGAAUGUAGAUCCUGACUACUGGGAGAAGCUGCUGAGGCAUCACUAUGAGCAACAGCAGGAAGACCUAGCCCGGAAUCUAGGCAAGGGCAAGCGGGUUCGCAAGCAAGUUAACUACAAUGAUGCUGCUCAGGAAGACCAAGACAACCAGUCAGAAUACUCGGUGGGUUCAGAGGAGGAGGAUGAAGACUUCGAUGAACGUCCUGAAGGGCGUAGACAGUCAAAGAGGCAGCUCCGGAAUGAGA
rnacentral:sRNA from 1 species